UUUCAGGAGGACUUCAAAGCCUUGAAGGCCUGAAGAUCUCUGGGAAGAGAGGAGGGAUGGUUGCUUAUUUGACUUGGAAGAGAGCGUUUCUUUUUUUGUCUGGAAGCCCAUAUUGGAAAAGAAGGAAAACUGAGGCAUUAAUCAGUAUCCCCACCAAAAACAUCUUAAGCUGGAAAACUGAAGAUGAAUUGGGACAAACUGAAGCAGACACACUAGAAAGAGACUCCAUGGAGUGAUUGCAAAUAGGAUCCAUAAAUAUAAAUUGCUGUAGCGCUUCGUCUUAGAGCUCAGUCGUUUGAACCAGUAAAUGGAACUGUUUAAUCUAACUUGGAUACUAGAAGAUAUUCAUAUAGUAGAAGACAGCCAUCAUUGAAGGAGCCCAAAAAGAAUGCAUUUUAAGUGGUGUUCUGAUGUACAUGAGCCAGUGCUAUUUUCUCUCCCUUCGGUGAUAAUUGAUUGUUAAAUGCAAUCAGAUGAGCAGAGAGAAUUGGAAGCAACAGAAGUAAUAAUAAUGAAGCGGCACGAAAACACCGAGUGGCUGCUAACACACAAGUUUAGGAUUACAUUUACUCUUCGAGUUCACAAAUAGUACAGCAUGAAUAAUAAAAGCAAAAAUGAAGUGUUGCAGCAAGAGGAGGGGAGAACAGCAUCUUGUCUGCUUGAU